rnacentral:tRNA from 1 species
GGAGAGGUGGCCGAGCGGUUUAAGGCAUAGCACCGGAAAUGCUACGUAGAAUUCUAGCUACCGAGGGUUCGAAUCCCUCCCUUUCCU